AGACCGAUAGCGAACAAGUAGAGUGAUCGAAAGAUGAAAAGCACUUUGAAAAGAGGGUUAAAUAGCACGUGAAAUUGUUGAAAGGGAAGGACUUAUGAGCAGACUUUUUCCAGGCGGAUCAUCCGGUGUUCUCACCGGUGCACUUCGCCUGGUCGAGGCCAGCAUCAGUUUUCGGAGGGGGAUAAAAGCCUCGGGAAUGUGGCUCCCUCGGGAGUGUUAUAGCCCGUUGCAUAAUACCCUUCUGGGGACUGAGGUACGCGCUUCUGCAAGGAUGCUGGCGUAAUGCUCAUCAGUCACCCGUCUUGAAACACGGACCAAG
rnacentral:rRNA from 1 species